rnacentral:lncRNA from 1 species
CGGCUAUCUAUCCUAGGAAUCUCCUUCCUAGGGUUCUUUGUCUUCCCUUAAAUUCCAUUCAGCCAAGUGACCCCAGUGUGCCUUCGUGGACAAGCUGCUUGGACGUGGAACCAUGUGGAGCUGCUAUUUUCUUUUUGCUGGACGCACCUCCCUCAAGACCGUGACAGCUGCAUGGAUUCAGAGAAAAGAGAAUGUGCUUCUCCCUCCAACCAUGACCGUCCAACCCAUUGUUAGUCUUCAUGCUUUAUGCUGCAUCUCAUUGCUGGAUGUUGCUCCCUUUGAAAUUGUUGGGCCGAGACAGCAGCAGCAGGUCUUCAUGAAGCCCACUGGUGGAGGCUUUUCUU